CUCUCAUAACUACCCUCUUUUCUUCGAACCCUUUACCCUUCUCCUGAAAUUCUAAAAUUCUCUCAUUCUCAUCCUCUGAAAUCUUUUCUCAUCUAAAAUCUUGAGUGGGAAAACAGGAGAUUCGUUCCCAGCAAGAAGAAGGUGUGUUGCCGGCAAUUCUCCCUCUUUCGUCGUUGCCGGAAUGUCUUAGACGGCGUCGAUCCCCUGUGACAACACCUCCACAGAUGUACCAAAAACACCCAAGCGUCGUCGUAUGGGGUGGCCGCUGCUACUACAACGGUGAGGAUCUUCAUGGUGUUUUACUCAAUGUAUGGACACGUGGAAGGCCUAGCAAGGAGGUUGAAGAAGGGCGUGGACAGCGUUGAGGGAGUGGAAAUGGUUCUCUACAGGGUGCCAGAGAUGCUCUCAGCAGAGAUUCUACAACAGACGAGGGUGUCGUCCAAAGACGAUGGAAUACCUGUGGUAACGGCAGAAGACCUGGCGGUGGCGGACGUGGUGCUGUUUGGGUUUCUAAUGAGGUAUAGGAGCAUGGUUGGCCGGGGCGCAGAUGAAGACUUUCUUUGACUCCACUGGUCAGCCGUGAAAAAAAAGUAACAGUUGUUGCAGCAAUUGACGAACUCAGAAAACUUGGAAAUUCAGAAUGCGUUUGUCAAUUCAGAAAUUUUCUUCCAUUUUCUGCUGCUGCUGGAAAUUAUUUUAAUGAUUCCCUACAAAAGAAGAUUUGCCAUUAGUCCAGCUUAGUUCAUGACUUCAUUCUCCAUAUGCCAAUGAAAUGGAGUAAUUUGUCACUGUUGAAUUGUUUAAUGAGUGUGUGAUAAUCCAUCCUUCACUAAACCCAUUCAAGAAGAUGAAGUUCGUGUUGCUGCUGAAACCUGAGCUAGCGAGAAUGAAGAGGAGGUUGAUGGAUGGAAGUGGUCGAGGACUAACAUAAGCACUGAAGACAUAAAAGAUUUAAACAAAACAAGGUGGAAGCCAUCAAAAGAAGUGCUGUGGAUGUUGUUCAACUGAAAGAGUUGGAAAAUGACAUGGGAAGAAUUUAUACAUUAAAAGAGAAUUUCGGCAUAUUACGGUAACAUGGGAAGAAUUUAUACAUUAAAAGAGAAUCUCGGCAUAUUACGGUAACUCUAAUGCUAAUAAUCAAGAAAAAAAAAAUAGCCUAGCUACAUAAAAUAUAGGGAAGAAAUAUUUAAAUACAAUUUU